rnacentral:rRNA from 1 species
CGAACGCGGGCGGCGUGCCUAAUACAUGCAAGUCGAGCGGACAGAAGGGAGCUUGCUCCCGGAUGUUAGCGGCGGACGGGUGAGUAACACGUGGGUAACCUGCCUGUAAGACUGGGAUAACUCCGGGAAACCGGAGCUAAUACCGGAUAGUUCCUUGAACCGCAUGGUUCAAGGAUGAAAGACGGUUUCGGCUGUCACUUACAGAUGGACCCGCGGCGCAUUAGCUAGUUGGUGGGGUAAUGGCUCACCAAGGCGACGAUGCGUAGCCGACCUGAGAGGGUGAUCGGCCACACUGGGACUGAGACACGGCCCAGACUCCUACGGGAGGCAGCAGUAGGGAAUCUUCCGCAAUGGACGAAAGUCUGACGGAGCAACGCCGCGUGAGUGAUGAAGGUUUUCGGAUCGUAAAGCUCUGUUGUUAGGGAAGAACAAGUGCGAGAGUAACUGCUCGCACCUUGACGGUACCUAACCAG